UACGAAGGGGGCUAGCGUUGCUCGGAAUGACUGGGCGUAAAGAGCGUGUAGGCGGUCAGGUAGGUCCGUUGUGAAAACUCGAGGCUCAACCUCGAGACGCCGAUGGAAACCAUCUGACUAGAGUCCGGAAGAGGAGAGUGGAAUUCCUGGUGUAGCGGUGAAAUGCGCAGAUAUCAGGAAGAACACCCGUGGCGAAGGCGGCACUCUGGGACGGUACUGACGCUGAGACGCGAAAGCGUGGGGAGCGAACAGG
rnacentral:rRNA from 1 species